CGGCAACAGCUCAGAUUUGAAAUCUGGCCCUUCUGGGUCCGAGUUGUAAUCUGUAGAGGAUGCUUUUGGCAAGACGCCUUCUGAGUCCCCUGGAACGGGGCGCCAUAGAGGGUGAGAGCCCCGUACGGUUGGACGUCGCGCCUCUGUAAAGCACCUUCGAC
rnacentral:rRNA from 1 species